UCGAGAAUAUUCGACAAUGGGCGAAAGCCUGAUCGAGCGACGCCGCGUGCAGGAUGAAGGCCCUCGGGUUGUAAACUGCGGUAGUAGGGGAGGAACGCAAGUGACUGUACCCUACGGAAAGUGGUUGGUAACUACGUGCCAGCACCAGCGGUAAUACGUAGACCACAAGCGUUAUCCGGAUUUAUUGGGCGUAAAGAGCAUGUAGGAGGUCCGGUGCGUCUCUGGUUAAAGCCCACCGCCUAACGGUGGAAGUGCCAGAGAUACGAUCGGACUGGAGGAUGUGAGAGGUGCAUGGAACUCACGGUGUAGGGGUGAAAUCCGUUGAUAUCGUGGGGAACACCAAAGGCGAAGGCAGUGCACUGGUACAUUCCUGACUCUGAGAUGCGAAAGCGUGGGGAG
rnacentral:rRNA from 1 species